rnacentral:rRNA from 1 species
UACGAGGGGGGCUAGCGUUGCUCGGAAUCACUGGGCGUAAAGCGCACGUAGGCGGCUUACUAAGUCAGGGGUGAAAUCCUGGAGCUCAACUCCAGAACUGCCUUUGAUACUGGUGAGCUUGAGUCCGGAAGAGGUGAGUGGAACUGCGAGUGUAGAGGUGAAAUUCGUAGAUAUUCGCAAGAACACCAGUGGCGAAGGCGGCUCACUGGUCCGGUACUGACGCUGAGGUGCGAAAGCGUGGGGAGCAAACAGG